rnacentral:rRNA from 1 species
AACGUAGGACACAAGCGUUAUCCGGAGUUACUGGGCGUAAAGGGCGUGUAGGCGGAUCGGUAAGUCUACUCUGAAAGCCCCCGGCUCAACUGGGGAGGGUCACUCGAUACUGAUCGACUCGAAGGCAGAAGAGGGAAGCGGAAUUCCCGGUGUAGUGGUGAAAUGCGUAGAUAUCGGGAGGAACACCAGUGGCGAAGGCGGCUUUCUGGUCUGCUCUUGACGCUGAGGCGCGAAAGCUAGGGUAGCAAACGGG